GCCUCGGUGGUGUAGUGGUAGAGCACGCGUCCCUGGACAGGAAGAAAGGUGGGUUCGAUACCGGCCUAAGGCC